rnacentral:snoRNA from 1 species
AUGGCAAGAUGGGGACAUUUUUUGGAUGAGGUCCUCUAAUCAUUCUCAUGACUCAUGGAACUUCUCACCAUCUUGCUGCGAAAAACUAGUUAGAGCUCACCUU